rnacentral:rRNA from 1 species
UACGUAGGGACCAAGCGUUGUUCGGAUUUACUGGGCGUAAAGGGCGCGUAGGCGGCAAUUCAAGUCAGUUGUGAAAUCUCCGAGCUUAACUCGGAACGGUCAACUGAUACUGUUUUGCUAGAGUGCAGAAAGGGCAACCGGAAUUCUUGGUGUAGCGGUGAAAUGCGUAGAUAUCAAGAGGAACACCUGAGGCGAAGGCGGGUUGCUGGGACGGUACUGACGCUGAGACGCGAAAGCGUGGGGAGCGAACAGG